ACAUCUCUUAGAGCUCUAGCUCACCUCUCUGGUGUUGUUCUUGUAUUCAUCUGAUUAAUCUAGUUCUUGCCUGUUCUUCUUGAACUUCUUGUUAGAUCUCGAGUCUGUAUUUCUGUGUCCGUGACAACACGCUCCAACGAGCUUGGCAACUAUUUAGAAUACGUAUCAAUGUGAAGUACUUGAGGUUCUUAUGAUCCAUAUGUAUAGUAACUAGAUUAGUAGCGUCUUUUAGAGAGUAAUGCCAUUCUUAAAAUGAAUCCAUGAUUGCAAGAAAUUUUUUAUUGUAAAUCUCAUAUAUUUACUUUAAAAAUAAAAAAAACU
rnacentral:lncRNA from 1 species